CGGGUACUGCCAGACUUGGAACCGGGAGAGGUAAGAGGUACUACAGGGGUAGGAGUGAAAUCUUGUAAUCCCUGUGGGACCACCUGUGGCGAAGGCGUCUUACCAGAACGGGUUCGACGGUGAGGGACGAAAGCUGGGGGCACGAACCGGAUUAGAUACCCGGGUAGUCCCAGCCGUAAACGAUGCUCGCUAGGUGUCAGGCAUGGCGCGACCGUGUCUGGUGCCGCAGGGAAGCCGUGAAGCGAGCCACCUGGGAAGUACGGCCGCAAGGCUGAAACUUAAAGGAAUUGGCGGGGGAGCACAACAACGGGUGGAGCCCUGCGGUUUAAUUGGACUCAACGCCGGACAACUCACCGGGGGCGACAGCAAUAUGUAGGCCAAGCUGAAGACUUUGCCUGAAUCGCUGAGAAGAGGUGCAUGG
rnacentral:rRNA from 1 species